AGCUCCAAUAGCGUAUAUUAAAGUUGUUGCAGUUAAAAAGCUCGUAGUUGGAUCUCGGGUUUAGGCUGGUGGUUCUGCUCAUGCAGAUACUGCUCGUCCUGACCUACCUGCCGGUUUUCCCUUGGUGCCCUUAACUGGGUGUCUCGGGUGGCCGGAACGUUUACUUUGAAAAAAUUAGAGUGUUCAAAGCAGGCAGUUCGCCUGAAUAAUGGUGCAUGGAAUAAUGGAAAAGGAUCUCGGUUCUAUUUUGUUGGUUUCCGGAACUUGAGGUAAUGAUUAAGAGGGACAGACGGGGGCAUUCGUAUUACGGUGUUAGAGGUGAAAUUCUUGGAUCGCCGUAAGACGAACUACUGCGAAAGCAUUUGCCAAGAAUGUUUUCA
rnacentral:rRNA from 1 species